rnacentral:rRNA from 1 species
UGGGGAAUAUUGGACAAUGGGCGCAAGCCUGAUCCAGCCAUGCCGCGUGAGUGAUGAAGGUCUUUAGGGUUGUAAAGCUCUUUACCCGGGAUGAUAAUGACAGUACCUGAGAUAGUC